UGUUCUUAAAUUUUCAGAUUUAGCUUUAAAGCGAUACCUCCGUAAUUUGGAUCGUUCUCCUUCGUUUCUGAAGCAAAUUCAGUUCCGCUUCGUCGCUGAGAAAGUAGACUCAUUCCUCUACAACUUUGCCUUUCGAAUUUUGUCAAACGCCGUUUGGAGAUCGAAAUCCGUUCCGUUCAUUCCCCGUGAUAGUAGGCUCGCUCCUCUACGAUUCUACACUUUUCUUUUGUCAAACGGUACGUAAACGCACCCGUAUCAAUCGCCGUCGUUUCAUCGUUUUGCGGUAGCUUAAGUUUCUACUUGCUCUGUUUAUUGUCAUAGGCUAAGUGUUGAUUCCUGGGUGUGAUUCUUAUUACGUUAGGCUAUUAUCUUACGUCCGAAUGAAGUCGUUUCAUCUCUGAAAUUCUUCAAAACUUCAUUGAUUCUCAGAGACCCGUCGACUGCUCGUGCUUCGGAGUCUACGCAGGGUUAGCUGUUUGCCAAGAUCACGUGGAUAAGCAAGCAGUUUAUUAUUUUGAGCGAGUCUGCAGAUCUCCGAAUCUUUAUUCCUCGGAGGUUUAUUUUCUUUUUAAUAAAUUGUCAAACUACUUUUAUUCUUAGACCGCAGUAGUAAAUUAGAAGUCUAUAUUAUUCUAGUCUGUUUGUCGGAUUUGUCUGACUGGCUUUCUUUUAUGCUUUGGCAUUAAUAUUGUUUAACUCUGGUUAUAUUUAUUUAAUGGAAGUACUUAUAUUUAAACUGUUA